UUAACUAUUAUAUAGUACUCAGACGACACUAACAUUCAGGGUUUGGGGUCCUCUGGCGGGCGCUUACCAGCCGGAGCCGGUAGCCUGGCCGAAGCGAGACGGCCCGCCAAAGCAACAAAGGUAAUAAUAACACAGGGUGGGAGAUCUACCCGGUAGGGCAUGAGCUCGGUAAUGAUCCCUCCGCAGGUUCACCUACGGAGA
rnacentral:misc_RNA from 1 species